rnacentral:rRNA from 1 species
UACGUAGGGGGCAAGCGUUGUCCGGAAUCAUUGGGCGUAAAGCGCGCGUAGGCGGCCCGGUAAGUCCGUUGUGAAAGUCAAAGGCUCAACCUUUGAACGCCGAUGGAUACUGCCGGGCUAGAGUCCGGAAGAGGCGAGUGGAAUUCCUGGUGUAGCGGUGGAAUGCGCAGAUAUCAGGAGGAACACCAAUAGCGAAGGCAGCUCGCUGGGACGGUACUGACGCUGAGGCGCGAAAACGUGGGGAGCGAACAGG